rnacentral:rRNA from 1 species
UACAGAGGGUGCGAGCGUUAAUCGGAAUUACUGGGCGUAAAGCGCACGUAGGCGGCUUUGCAAGUCGGGUGUGAAAUCCCCGGGCUCAACCUGGGAACUGCAUCCGAGACUGCUUUGCUCGAGUAUGGGAGAGGGAAGUGGAAUUUCCGGUGUAGCGGUGAAAUGCGUAGAUAUCGGAAGGAACAUCAGUGGCGAAGGCGACUUCCUGGACCAAUACUGACGCUCAGGUACGAAAGCGUGGGGAGCAAACAGG